rfam:TPA: Bos taurus chromosome 14, whole genome shotgun sequence.
UCCCUGGUGGUUCAGUAGCUAAGACUCUGCACUAUCAAUGCAGAGAGCCCAGGUUCGAUCUCUGAUCAGGGAA